rnacentral:tRNA from 3 species
GGAGAGGUGGCUGAGUGGUCGAAAGCGCUUCCCUGCUAAGGAAGUGUGCGGGUAACCGCACCGUGGGUUCGAAUCCCAUCCUCUCCGCCA